rnacentral:rRNA from 1 species
CGCAUGGGGCAGCUACAAUGCAGUCGAGCGAGAACUUCGGUUCUAGCGGCGGACGGGUUAGUAACGCGUGGGAACGUGCCCUUCACUACGGAAUAGUCCCGGGAAACUGGGUUUAAUACCGUAUACGCCCUUCGGGGGAAAGAAUUUCGGUGAAGGAUCGGCCCGCGUUAGAUUAGAUAGUUGGUGGGGUAACGGCCUACCAAGUCUACGAUCUAUAGCUGGUUUUAGAGGAUGAUCAGCAACACUGGGACUGAGACACGGCCCAGACUCCUACGGGAGGCAGCAGUGGGGAAUCUUAGACAAUGGGCGCAAGCCUGAUCUAGCCAUGCCGCGUGAGUGAUGAAGGCCUUAGGGUCGUAAAGCUCUUUCGCCAGGGAUGAUAAUGACAGUACCUGGUAAAGAAACCCCGGCUAACUCCGUGCCAGCAGCCGCGGUAAUACGGAGGGGGUUAGCGUUGUUCGGAAUUACUGGGCGUAAAGCGCGCGUAGGCGGAUUGGAAAGUUGGGGGUGAAAUCCCAGGGCUCAACCCUGGAACUGCCUCCAAAACUAUCAGUCUAGAGUUCGAGAGAGGUGAGUGGAACUCCGAGUGUAGAGGUGAAAUUCGUAGAUAUUCGGAAGAACACCAGUGGCGAAGGCGGCUCACUGGCUCGAUACUGACGCUGAGGUGCGAAAGUGUGGGGAGCAAACAGGAUUAGAUACCCUGGUAGUCC